rnacentral:rRNA from 1 species
ACGUGGAGGGGCCAUUCGAUACUGCCGUGACUCGAGUCCGGUAGGGGAGUGUGGAAUUCCCGGUGUAGCGGUGAAAUGCGCAGAGAUCGGGAGGAACACCCGUAGCGAAGGCGGCACUCUGGGCCGGUACUGACGCUGAGGAGCGAAAGCGUGGGGAGCGAACAGGAUUAGAUACCCUGGUAGUCCACGCCGUAAACGUUGGGCACUAGGUGUGGGACUCUAUCGACGGGUUCCGUGCCGUAGCUAACGCAUUAAGUGCCCCGCCUGGGGAGUACGGCCGCAAGGCUAAAACUCAAAGGAAUUGACGGGGGCCCGCACAAGCGGCGGAGCAUGUGGCUUAAUUCGAUGCAACGCGAAGAACCUUACCUGGGUUGAACUAUGCAGGAAAAGCAGUAGAGAUACUGUGUCCUU